rnacentral:rRNA from 1 species
UACGUAGGGGGGCAAGCGUUGUCCGGAUUUAUUGGGCGUAAAGAGCGUGUAGGCGGCCAAGCAGGUCCGUUGUGAAAACUGGAGGCUUAACCUCCAGACGUCGACGGAAACCGCGUGGCUAGAGUCCGGAAGAGGAGAGUGGAAUUCCGUGGUGUAGCGGUGAAAUGCGCAGAUAUCAGGAAGAACACCAAUGGCGAAGGCAGCUCUCUGGGACGGUACUGACGCUGAGACGCGAAAGCGUGGGGAGCGAACAGG